UAUAGUGCAGGUGCAUCAGCACAGUUACAUUGAAAACCUACAACCAGUUCACUUACAGGCAGCACGAGCUGUACAGAGAGAGGCUCCACUAAACGAGAAAGUAAAAUAACAACUCCGGUCCAAAUUGGACAGAUUUUGUGAGUUGCUAAACAAACAAGACCAAAUGUAAUGUUUGACACAUGUAGCCUAGCAUCCAACAUUAAGAAUGAUACUGUUCAGUCCAUACAUGAAAUGAAAGUCACACUUAAGUUCCAACACUUGGGAAACAGUGAAGAUUUAAGUUUAGUGGCUUUCAGUGAUGCCUCACUAGGCAAUCUUCAGGAUGGAGGUACACAGGAAGGGGCUUUAAUUGUCCUCAUGGAAAAAACAGUAAAGUGUUCCCCUUUGUUUUGGCAAUCUAAGAAAAUCAAACUUGUGGUAAGAAGCACGCUGGCAGGAGAAACCCUUGCGAUUGUAGCAGCACUACCCAGACGGGUUGAAUGAUAAGUGCUUUAAUUAGAGACAGGUGUGCUAUGGGUGUAGGUGUGCAUAAAAGGAAGGUUUCCAGCAUUGUUUGAGGCUGACGGGUGGUUGCUGCUGUGACUUUGGACGUUGAAUGCCUAAUGUUUUCUUAGUGGAUUUUUUGAGCCGUUUGGGACCAGCAUUUGAUUGUGGACUUGCUGCAUUUUGGUAUACAUGCCAUGUGGAGUUUAUCCAUCACUGGAUGUGUCAGCAGUGCCGACUCUCUAAUAAUCAGCUUAAAGCACUCCGGAGGUAUAUGCCCAUAUGACACUGGGUAGCGGAUUUGGAUGGUGGCCCAGCUUCCCCUUCUUGGUGUUUUAUUAUUAUUUUUCUAAUUUUUUUGUUUAAGUAUCUGCCUAGCGGCUUACUUCUGUGACACCUGGUCCACCCCUUCAUUUGUGCCGUCCGCAUUAAGUGGCCUGUUCCUGGGAAUAACUGUGGGACAGGGUAUUAGUUUUUCUCAGUCGCUUUGGUGCAUUUUUCACAUCACUAUUUACAUUCGCACAACAGUUAGUUCAACCUCCACAACAUUUAGUCAUUUGUGCACGUCAUAGUAGCAGUUUCUCAUUCCUUCGAACAAAUUGCAAAUGCUUUUGGACAUGCAUCAAUUGCUUUCAUACAAUUCUCUGCUGUUUUAUAACAUUAUCAUUUGUUUGUCAUGUCAGUCAAAAUUAACUAUACUUGUGAAUGCUGAAUAGUCAUUCCAUGUAAAACUAAUAGUCCUUAUUUCAUUGCUUCAGUCAUUACAUACAAAAAUUUUCAAGUUUUUUUUAAGUCUUUUUUUAUCCGAAAAGUCUCCUAAAUUGAACAAUUUUUGAGAUGAUGUGGCCAGACAGAGGAAUGUCUGGAUGUACAAGAAUGAUUACAGUACUAUGUCUGUUGUAUGUUCAGUUCCAAUAUGUACUGCAAUGUUUUUUACAAUUGUGCACAGCCAAAGUUUGUUUGUUGUAAAUAAGGAUGUAUUUUUUUCUUUUGCACAAUACUAUGAACAGAUUAGAAUUGCAAAUAGGGAUGGGACGAUUACCGGUUUCACGAUUAACCAUGAUAAAAUGUCCUGACGGUUAGUAUUAUCGUUUAAAAUGUAAUUAUCAUUAUAACCGUGUUUGAUUACCGUGAUUUUGAAAACUCGCGGUAAAUCCUGUCCAGCCAGAAUCAGCUUGACGCAGGCGCUCGCAUGCAACAUUAGCUUUUGUGCAGUGGUGGACAGUAACGAAGUAAAUGUAAUUCGUUACUUUACUUAAGUAGUUUUUUCACGUAUCUGUACUUUACUCAAGUACUUUUAUUUUGGGAGACUUUUACUUUUACUUUACUACAUUUUAAAGUAAAAUAUCUUACUUUUUACUCCACUACAUUUAAAAAAAUCGGUCGUUCCUUUUUAUUUAUCAGUGGAUAAAAAACGUAACUGGGCAAACUAAAGCUGCACAAAAAAAAACUAAGAUGCACACGUGAUGCGUCAAACCACCAAUCAGGGUACAGCAUGCGCUUCGUUUUAAACUUGUUUUGGUUGCCGCGCUGUUUCACGUAAGCUACGCGAGUCACGCGAGUGCAGCAGCCAGCCAAUGCAUCGUUUGGACAAUGAAACUGCAUUCAAAAAUAACGGAGGAGAUAACUGACCCGUCACAACAACAAUGGCCUUAUUUACGCGAGGUUUUUUUUAAGUCCUUGAAUAAAAGAACGAGUCAUUCGUGUCUUCUCUGCCUGCCUUGAAACUGUGCUAUUUCGUUUUAAAAGAAUACUCUUUCAAAUCUAAGGAAACGGGUAGAGGUAAGCCAUUUUUAUUCUGGUUAUAUUUUUAAAUGAGCAAUCUUAACAGUAGCUUGCAGAAAACUGUUAAUUGUGUUGCUAAAAUAUAUACGACGUUAUCAUGAAUGAACUUUAAGCUAUGCAGGCUGAAGCUAUUUUUAGCUGUAUAGUUAGCUGUUUCACUUAAGUUCGUUGUAUUUGAAGCUCAGUGCUCUGUUAUUUUGAAAUGACAAUUAAUCACUAUCAACACUGUUGUAAAAUAUAAAUGACAUUUUGACUAGCCAUGCAGUGUAUGAUGCUUAAACAGGCAGGUGGAUUGGAGUGCUCCCUAUUAACUGAGAUUGUUAUUAAUAUUUUCAAAAGAUUUGCUUCGAAAUUAUAUAAAUACAUUUAAUUAUUUAUUACAAUAUACAUAUGACAUGCUAAACCACAUGAAACGUUUCUGAAAUUAUAUUCUGUAAGGCUUGUUUUAUUUGUCAAAGAAAGGGAGACUGAUUUCUAGAUAACGUUAUGUAUUUAAUGUUUUGAAAACUAUUGUGAACCUGUGCUUAAGUCAAGUUUUUAUUACACUUAAACUGAUAAAUUAUGUAACAAAUAAAUCUUGAAAUGAGACUUACUGCUCUCAAAUCAUGUUAUUUCAUUUGAUGCUAAAGGAAAUUUUUUGUUUUUAAGGUUUUAGGCUUAUGAUAAUUUUAAUAGACAUCAGUGUCUGAUUUAUUAAUGACUUUUAUUAAUUGAUUGGUUAGCCAAGAGAGUUAUUUCACAUAAUUUGAGUUUUGUGACAAAAAUGAUACGGCCAUAAUAAAUCACAGUACUUUUGUACUUAAGUACAUUUUGAGGCAGAUACUUUUGUACUUUUACUCAAGUAAAAAUUUUAAGCAAGUACUUCUACUUUUACUUGAGUAAUAUUUUACCCUGGGUAUCUUUGCUUUUACUCAAGUACACGAUUUGUGUAAUUCGUCCACCACUGCUUUUGUGCGAGAAGGCGUGGCGGAUGCAGUAACAGGUGCACUGUGUUUUAAUGCGUUGCUUAUGUGUGCAUUUGUUUUUAUUUAAGCUACUGUUCAUUAAAACAGGUUCAUACAUUUCAGGGCUCCAUGUUAAUGUUCAUUUAAUGCAGGGGUGUCCAACACAACCAGUCGAUCGCAAAUGCAAUGCGGGUAGAUCGCCUAUAAGUUAAUAACUGUAUGCUGCUCCACGCCUCCACGAGCUUCGGAAAGCAAAGCGCCAAAUUGGCAUUAUGGUCUUAGAAGUCUUUUUGAGUUGUUGCGCAUUUCUUAAGUGUGUUUUUAUAAAUCUUAUGCCUGCCUGCUGCAGCGGAGUCGUCUAACUUCCGAAA